rfam:Morus notabilis contig3783, whole genome shotgun sequence.
CCCAUGGAUCUUUUUGGAUCCAACAAAGAUAUACAAACAGAAAGUG